UUUUAUUUACUUUAAUUCCUUUUCUUAGUACAAAAUACACGAAGUCAUAUGUCACACCGAUUGUGGAAACAUACAGAAACCUGGAUUCACAACAGUGAAUCCUCCAUCUACCACCAGAUUAUGGCCGCUCACAUACUGGGAGUCAUCACUAGCCAAGUAAAGAGCAGCCUGAGCCACAUCUUCUGGUUUAAGCAAAGCCUCCUUGAGAUUAGAAUAAAGCCGAUACACACCAUCAUCAUCCAGCUUGAAGAAAUCCUUUGCCAGUGGGGUGGCAACCACGUACGGCGAGACACAGUUCACACGAAUCCCAUAUUGACCCAAUUCCACAGCAGUAUUUUUCAUCAGACCCACCACGCCAUGCUUUGAACUAGUGUAAGCAUGAGAUGCUACCCCUCCAAUUACUGAACAAAUACUGGCAGUUGUAAUUAUACUCCCUCGGCGAUUGGGGAUCAUUACACGAGCUGCAUGCUUAGUCCCCAGGAAUGGACCUACUAAAUUAACACUAAUGAUUUUUUCAAAUUCUGAUUUUUCAUUAUCAAGGAUGUUGGGUUUGGCUGCCCCAAUUGUACCUGCAUUGUUGAACAUGAUGUCAAGCUUCCCGUACUUAGAAACAGCUGUAUUAACAGCAUUUUGGACAUCUUCUUCUGCGGUAACGUCGCAGUGGACGAAUGAGCAGUGGGCAUCAUCUGCAUCCAGUUCUCGGCAUACAGAGCGGCCUAACUCGUCUUGGACAUCUGCAAUCACUAAUUUAGCUCCUUGUUUGGAGAAGAGUCUGGCAGUGCAUUCCCCGAUGCCACUAGCUGCUCCGGUAACGAGAGCCACCUUGCCUUGCAGCCUUUUUAGAGCUGAAGAGACAAGUGAGGCAGAGGCCAUCUGAAACAACGUAUGGAAAAAGUGUUGCUGGCCAGAGACUCAAACAGAGUGCCACGAGAC
rnacentral:misc_RNA from 1 species